GGCGAGAUGGCCGAGCGGUCCAAGGCGCCCGUUUUACGCACCUGUCCCUUCGGGGGCGUAGGUUGGAAUCCUACUCUCGUCA
rnacentral:tRNA from 1 species